rnacentral:rRNA from 1 species
GUCUCUGGCUGUCCGAGUUGUAAUCUAGAGAAGUAAUGCCCGUGCUGGACCGUGUAUAAGUCUCCUGGGAUGGGGCGUCAUGGAGGGUGAGAAUCCCGUCUUUGACACGGACUACCAGUGCAUUGUGGUAUGCUCUCAAAGAGUCGAGUUGUUUGGGAAUGCAGCUCAAAAUGGGUGGUAAAUUCCAUCUAAAGCUAAAUAUUGGCGAGAGACCGAUAGCGAACAAGUACCGUGAGGGAAAGAUGAAAAGAACUUUGGAAAGAGAGUUAAACAGUACGUGAAAUUGCUGAAAGGGAAACGCUUGAAGUCAGUCGCGUUGGCCAGGGAUCAGCCUUGCUUUUGCAUGGUGUACUUUCUGGCUGACGGGUCAGCAUCAAUUUUGACCGCUGGAAAAGGGCCUGGGGAAUGUGGCAGCUUCGGCUGUGUUAUAGCCCCUAGUCACAUACGGCGGUUGGGAUUGAGGAACUCAGCACGCCACAAGGCCGGGUUUCGACCACGUUCGUGCUUAGGAUGUUGGCAUAAUGGCUUUAAGCGACCCGUCUUGAAACACGGACCAAGGAGUCUAACAUGCCUGCGAGUAUUUGGGUGGAAAACCCGAGUGCACAAUGAAAGUGAAAGUUGAGAUCCCUGUCGUGGGGAGCAUCGACGCCCGGACCAGAACUUUUGGGACGGAUCCGCGGUGGAGCAUGCAUGUUGGGACCCGAAAGAUGGUGAACUAUGCCUGAAUAGGGUGAAGCCAGAGGAAACUCUGGUGGAGGCUCGUAGCGAUUCUGACGUGCAAAUCGAUCGUCAAAUUUGGGUAUAGGGCUGAAAGACUAAUCGAACCAUCU